GACGAACGCUGGCGGCGUGCUUAACACAUGCAAGUCGAACGGAAAGGCCCUGCUUUUGUGGGGUGCUCGAGUGGCGAACGGGUGAGUAACACGUGAGUAACCUGCCCUUGACUUUGGGAUAACUUCAGGAAACUGGGGCUAAUACCGGAUAGGAGCUCCUGCUGCAUGGUGGGGGUUGGAAAGUUUCGGCGGUUGGGGAUGGACUCGCGGCUUAUCAGCUUGUUGGUGGGGUAGUGGCUUACCAAGGCUUUGACGGGUAGCCGGCCUGAGAGGGUGACCGGACAAACUGGGGCUGAGGUAAUGGCCAGGCUUCAAAGGGAAGCAAGAGGGGGGAAUCAUGAAGGAUGGGGGGAAGCGUGGUGCAGGAACGCCGGGGUGGGGAAGCAGGCCCUCGGGGUGUAAACCGCUUUCGCCUGUGACGAAGCGUGAGUGACGGUAAUGGGUAAAGAAGCACCGGCUAACUACGUG
rnacentral:rRNA from 1 species